CUACGAGACAGUUGCCCUUGCCUGGGCGAUGAAGCUGGGAUUCAGAAUCGGAUCUGCCUGGAUCCCAAAGCCCUCUUUCUUUCCACUACACUGCACACCAGAUCAAAAGACUGAAGGGCAGGAAAAGAAGCCUGAAUUGACCCAACAGGGCAGUUGGGAAGGAAUGGGCAGUGGCAGAAAGGGCUGAAACAAUGGGAACCGGAAGGAGUCACACCAGUUAACUACAUUUUCAUUCACGCCCAAUAUUUCCCCCAUCUUCCAUUAUAGGAAGUUAGCUUCUCAGCUGGAGCCUCCCAGUGUGAGCUGAAGAGCCUCCAAGAGAACUCAUCCCAGAGAAGGGGGCAGCAGUGUGGUGCAUUUGCCUGAGCUCCAAAGCCUUGGAGUCCAAGAAAGAACCCUGCUUUUGUUUGAGACCACAGUGAGCCAGCCCCAGAUUUUAUUUAUUCAUUUGAGAGAGAGAGAGAGAGACAGA